rnacentral:rRNA from 2 species
AUUUGGAGAGGAUGCUUUUGGCGCGGCGCCGUCCGAGUUCCUUGGAACAGGACGCCAUAGAGGGUGAGAGCCCCGUACGGGCGGCCGCCUAGCCUUUGUAAAGCUCCUUCGACGAGUCGAGUAGUUUGGGAAUGCUGCUCAAAAUGGGAGGUAAAUUUCUUCUAAAGCUAAAUACCGGCCAGAGACCGAUAGCGCACAAGUAGAGUGAUCGAAAGAUGAAAAGCACUUUGAAAAGAGGGUUAAAAAGUACGUGAAAUUGUUGAAAGGGAAGCGCCUGUGACCAGACUUGCGACCCGUGGAUCAUCCGGUGUUCUUCACCGGUGCACUCCGCGGGCUGCAGGCCAGCAUCGGUUUUCCUAGGGGGAUAAAGGUCGCAGGAACGUAGCUCUUUCGGGAGUGUUAUAGCCUGUGGCGUCAUGCCUCUGGGGAGACCGAGGACCGCGCUUCGGCAAGGAUGCUGGCGUAAUGGUCACCGGCGACCCGUCUUGAAACACGGACCAAGGAGUCAAGCAUUGGGGCGAGUGUCUGGGUGCCAAACCCGCACGCGAAAUGAAAGUAAACGCAGGUGAGAGCUUCGGCGCAUCACCGACCGAUCCUGAUGUCUUCGGAUGGAUUUGAGUAAGAGCCUUACCGCUUGGACCCGAAAGAUGGUGAACUAUGCCUGUAUAGGGUGAAGCCAGAGGAAACUCUGGUGGAGG